rnacentral:lncRNA from 1 species
UCAUGGUAUUCAUGUUUUAUUGUGAUCCACAGCUAAUAAUGUCAGUAGGAGCAUAACACUGGAUCCAGCAGACCCAUCCCUUACUUUUCUGCUGCAAAUUUGUACUUCAGCAUAGUAGUAGCCAGCUGUGUAUCUCAGUACCUUUCCCUGAGGGAUACAGGAAGCAAUCUAUGAGUUUACGCACUUAGUAUGACAAAUGGCAAAGUGUGUGCACAUGUGCAAAUAUGACAAAACAGGAUUUUUACUCACUUUAUUCUCCAUGUAACUGGUUUUAUAUAUGUUCACCCAAGCGUCAAAGCAACAGACCCACACCACUCCAGGAUUUGUUUAAAAAAAAGAAAAAGUUUUCUUGUGAUUUUUCUGGUAGAAGUAGCCAGUUCAGUACAAUGGCACAUGAAAAACCAGAUUUGCAAGUUUUGGAAAUGAAAAGUGAAUCAUCAGAUUACUUAUGCAUAGAUGAUGAAGAUGAUCCACUAUGGUAAAAUACAUGCUUUCAUAACAGAGGAGUGGUGUGGGUGGAUGAUGAUGAUGAUAAUGAUUGUGACAUUGGCCAUGUAAGCCAAAGUUCCUGUGACAGUGAAAUGGAGCAAGAACUGAAUGACACACACAGGGAAUGCAGACCUCCUUGAUUCAGAUGAUGAAGAAAACAGCAAUGGAAGAUGAGCACAAUAAACAAAAACAUCAAGACUUUCAGUUUCCUGAAGCCCAUGGGAAGCCAAAACAUACACCGCCAGAACGGAACUUAUCUUCACAUGAACUGGUCAGAAGUAGUAAAGUAGUUAUGACAGAGAAAGCAUCACAACAGUUAUGGAACAGUAUAGAUUCCAUGCAGGUAGGUCUUUACCACACUCUAACCCCUGAAAUGAGGGGUUUAACACACAUCUACAAGGUGUUUCUCAAAAUGUAA